rnacentral:rRNA from 1 species
CGUCCUAUUAGCUAGUUGGUGAGGUAAUGGCUCACCAAGGCUACGAUGGGUAGGGGUUACUUAGUGGAAGGUCCCCCACACUGGCACUGAGAUACGGGCCAGACUCCUACGGGAGGCAGCAGUAGGGAAUAUUGGUCAAUGGGCGCAAGCCUGAACCAGCCAUGCCGCGUGCAGGAUGAAGGCUCUCUGAGUUGUAAACUGCUUUUGUACAGGAGCAAAAAAAUCCCUGCGGGGGUUCUUGAGAGUACUGUAAGAAUAAGCACCGGCUAAUUCCGUGCCAGCAGCCGCGGUAAUACGGGAGGUGCAAGCGUUAUCCGGUUUUAUUGGGUUUAAAGGGUGCGUAGGCGGCUUAUUAAGUCAGUUGUGAAAUCCUAGUGCUUAACGCUAGAACUGCGAUUGAUACUAUU